UAUACACGUCCAAAAAUAGCCAUCUUUGGACAGGAUCUAGAUAAUUCAUCAUACUAUCCUACCAAAUGUUUAUAGAAUUUUAAAGUUAAGAAAAAUGACAAAACUGUCCCUGGGAUGAACUGAUCCAAAAUAGUCUAUUUUCCGUUUUUUGAAAUAUUUGAACUGUUUGUACUAAAAUGGCUGCCAAGGCUUGUAAAAUCAACACUUUUAAGUGC
rnacentral:lncRNA from 1 species